AUUGAACGCUGGCGGCAUGCCUUACACAUGCAAGUCGAACGGCAGCACGGACUUCGGUCUGGUGGCGAGUGGCGAACGGGUGAGUAAUAUAUCGGAACGUGCCCUGGAGUGGGGGAUAACUAGUCGAAAGACUAGCUAAUACCGCAUACGAUCUACGGAUGAAAGUGGGGGAUCGCAAGAACUCAUGCUCGUGGAGCGGCCGAUAUCUGAUUAGCUAGUUGGUGGGGUAAAAGCCUACCAAGGCAUCGAUCAGUAGCUGGUCUGAGAGGACGACCAGCCACACUGGGACUGAGACACGGCCCAGACUCCUACGGGAGGCAGCAGUGGGGAAUUUUGGACAAUGGGGGCAACCCUGAUCCAGCAAUGCCGCGUGAGUGAAGAAGGCCUUCGGGUUGUAAAGCUCUUUUGUCAGGGAAGAAACGGUUCUGGCUAAUAUCCGGAGCUAAUGACGGUACCUGAAGAAUAAGCACCGGCUAACUACGUGCCAGCCGCCGCUGUAAAAC
rnacentral:rRNA from 1 species